rnacentral:rRNA from 1 species
UACGUAGGGCGCGAGCGUUGUCCGGAAUUAUUGGGCGUAAAGAGCUCGUAGGCGGCCUGUCGCGUCCGCUGUGAAAACCCGGGGCUCAACCCCGGGCUUGCAGUGGAUACGGGCAGGCUAGAGGCAGGCAGGGGAGAACGGAAUUCCCGGUGUAGCGGUGAAAUGCGCAGAUAUCAGAAGGAACACCGGUGGCGAAGGCGGUUCUCUGGGAAUGUUCUGACGCUGAGGAGCGAAAGUGUGGGGAGCGAACAGG